AGCGAACGCUGGCGGCAGGCUUAACACAUGCAAGUCGAGCGGGCAUCCUUGUGAUGUCAGCGGCAGACGGGUGAGUAACGCGUGGGAACGUGCCCUUCGGUUCGGAAUAACUCGGGGAAACUUGAGCUAAUACCGGAUACGUGCGAGAGCAGAAAGGUUUAUCUGCCGAAGGAUCGGCCCGCGUCUGAUUAGCUAGUUGGUGAGGUUAUGGCUCACCAAGGCGACGAUCAGUAGCUGGUCUGAGAGGAUGAUCAGCCACACUGGGACUGAGACACGGCCCAGACUCCUACGGGAGGCAGCAGUGGGGAAUAUUGGACAAUGGGGGCAACCCUGAUCCAGCCAUGCCGCGUGAGUGAUGACGGCCUUAGGGUUGUAAAGCUCUUUUCUCCGGGACGAUAAUGACGGUACCGGAGGAAUAAGCCCCGGCUAACUUCGUG
rnacentral:rRNA from 1 species